UAGCGCGCAGGCGCAGUGGCGGGCUGAGGCGUCUCCUCAGGCUGGCCUGUGUGGAAACAACUGCUUCCGGCAGCCGUGGGCCGCUCCAGGUUAUGCAGAUAUUCUACCUGUUUUGCAUCCUGGUGGAGCAUGGUGGGAUUCCCGUUGCGCAGCCAAGACAUGCAAGAACUCCUGGAGUAAGCCCACGGACUGCUGCUUCACCGCUGCACUUCAGGAUCUUCUCAGAUAACCCAGUGCCCAAAGCCAUCAACUUCCCCCAGUGGUUCAAGAUACAGGAAAACUAAUUUGAACUUGCUUGUGUGUUGCAGUAAAUCAUUCAUGAGAGAUUAAUUACUUGAAAUUUGGUAGUCUGUGCUCAUCCAAAUGCAGAAAGGUGAGCACAGAUGUGGAAAUGACUGCAGUUCCCCAAAGGCCAAGCAGUACUAUGUCUGGGCUGCAGGAAAGAGUCAUGGUGCCGACAGGUACCUCACAUGGAGUUUGUCAGCAGAAGAGAGGUUGCGCCUGGCUGGGACAGAGAAGCAUGAGAGAAGCCAGACCUGAUUAUACAAGCAAGACAGGGUGAGGCACCAAAAAUGCCUGUUUCUUACCUAUGGUCUUUUGGACAAACAUAUAUUGUAUCAAUCCAUGACAUCAGGCAAAGCUUCCUUUAAGAACACUGAUGUAAAAAUGAGGUCCCAGGUGGUCAUUUAUGGUUCAAGUAGCAGUUUAUAUAUUUAUUAUAAUUAUACACAACCUUGACAAUCUAUAUUGCCAUUCAAAAAUAAAUUGAAGUAUUGUCAAUUUGCA